UGCAGCCGGACCGUUGUCUGAUCAAAGAAACUCUAGUAACGUGGAAAUUCAUGCUCCGAGUAGUGACAAGCCAGUGACUUUUUCUAUAGAAAGGGUACAAGACUCCAAUUUGAAAAUCUCAAGCAGCUUUAUAUUCAAGCAAGUUCAAUCCAAUCUCUUCCUGACUCACUGUCUCAUCAACAUGCAAAGCUCUCGAAGAGAAAUCAUCUCUUACUUGCCUGAGGGAGUUCUGGCAGACGUUUUGAAUGUGGAUGUGGAAGUUCUUUCCUCGUCUCCAUCCUGUCAAGAGCCGUGGAGCAAACAGCAGGAUGAGGAAGACAUGGAAGACAAAACUGAUAACGCACGUCACCUCGCUGCAGCGGGAGACAGAAUGUAACUUCAAUUCAGCCUCUUUGGGGUUUGGGUUCUGACCAAGUAAAUCGGGAAUGUUGUUAACA
rnacentral:lncRNA from 1 species